rnacentral:tRNA from 1 species
UCCCUGGUGGUCCAGGGGCUAGGACUCUGCACUUCCAAUGCAGGGGGCCUGGGUUCAAUCCCAGGUUGCGGAA